rnacentral:rRNA from 1 species
CCUACGGGAGGCAGCAGUGAGGAAUAUUGGUCAAUGGGCGCUAGCCUGAACCAGCCAAGUAGCGUGAAGGAUGACUGCCCUACGGGUUGUAAACUUCUUUUAUACGGGAAUAAAGUGCAGUACGUAUACUGCUUUGCAUGUACCUUAUGAAUAAGGAUCGGCUAACUCCGUGCCAGCAGCCGCGGUAAUACGGAGGAUCCGAGCGUUAUCCGGAUUUAUUGGGUUUAAAGGGGGCGCAGGCGGGAUGUUAAGUCAGGGGUUAAAUUGUGGGGCUCAACCCCAGUCUAGCAGUUGAAACUGGCGUUCUUGAGUGUGCGAGAGGUAUGCGGAAUGCGUGGUGUAGCGGUGAAAUGCAUAGAUAUCACGCAGAACCCCGAUUGCGAAGGCAGCAUACUGAUGCGCAACUGACGCUGAGGCACGAAAGCGUGGGUAUCAAACAGGAUUAGAUACCCUAGUAGUC